rnacentral:rRNA from 1 species
UACGAAGGGGGCUAGCGUUGCUCGGAAUCACUGGGCGUAAAGGGUGCGUAGGCGGGUCUUUAAGUCAGGGGUGAAAUCCUGGAGCUCAACUCCAGAACUGCCUUUGAUACUGGGAUUCUUGAGUUCGGGAGAGGUGAGCGGAACUGCGAGUGUAGAGGUGAAAUUCGUAGAUAUUCGCAAGAACACCAGUGGCGAAGGCGGCUCACUGGCCCGAUACUGACGCUGAGGCACGAAAGCGUGGGUAGCAAACAGG